GCGGUAAUAGCUCAAUGGUAGAGCGGCUGCUUCCCAAGCAGCAGGUUGCGGGUUCGAAUCCCGUUUACCGCU
rnacentral:tRNA from 6 species